AUCUUUUCAAUCGUGUAGACUAAUUGUUGGAAAUAUACAUUAUUAUAAUUCUGUGACUCUCAGUGUUAUACCGCAUCAACCACCCCGAUUAUCCUAACCGAAAUACGGGGAUCGAACUAUUUGUGGUGUCGAUUAUUCUAAUCGUAACGGGAAUUUACGACUCUCGUUGACGCGUCUCCCCGCGAUAGCUCGAUUUUUACAGUAAUAAUGAAAAAUACUGUUUUCGGAGUAACGAUUAGAUUGUGGAUUUUUGCGCGAAUUCAUAAAGAAUGGACUCUAAGAAUGAAUUUGUUUCAUUCUCAAUUACGGUUGCAGGUCUUAAAAGUGACUCAUAGAGAAUGGUUAGAUCGGUAAAUAAGUAACAUGAGACGCAACAGGAUCUGAAAGUGAGCUAUUCGGUUUCCAUCUUUCGCUCGGGCACUGCAAAACUAUAUCGACGAUGGUUUCUCAUUUCUGCAUAAAAUUUCACCGCAAGCCACCGAAAGAUUUUUAGAACACGAUCGCAAAAUGAAUCACGAAUUCAGCAAAAUGAAUAUGGAAAUCCUACACACUUUUACUGUACUGAUGAGAAAUUCCGACAAGUAUAUUAUAAAUAAUUAGUAAUAAGAGACCAUACAAUACUGAAGAAUUUUUAUAUAUUAAAUACAGAUAAUUCAGUAAAAUUACACAAAAUUCUAAUAUAUUGUAUCUACAUGUUAUAAAAAUUAUGUUUAACGAAUUGUAUAUUAUAUUGACAUUGUUUACUAUUGUUAAUUUAAUUCAAU
rnacentral:misc_RNA from 1 species